UACGUAGGUCCCGAGCGUUGUCCGGAUUUAUUGGGCGUAAAGCGAGCGCCGGUGGUUUAAUAAGUCUGAUGUAAAAGGCAGUGGCUCAACCAUUGUGUGCAUUGGAAACUGUUAGACUUGAGUGCAGUAGAGGAGAGUGGAAUUCCAUGUGUAGCGGUGAAAUGCGUAGAUAUAUGGAGGAACACCGGUGGCGAAAGCGGCUCUCUGGACUGUAACUGACACUGAGGCUCGAAAGCGUGGGUAGCAAACAGG
rnacentral:rRNA from 1 species